rnacentral:tRNA from 16 species
GGUUGAGAGGUCAGAGCACAUGACUCCUACACCCAGAGUCCCAGGUUCGAAUCCCAC